rnacentral:rRNA from 1 species
GUGGGGAAUUUUGGACAAUGGGCGCAAGCCUGAUCCAGCAAUGCCGCGUGCAGGAAGAAGGCCUUCGGGUUGUAAACUGCUUUUGUACGGAACGAAACGGUCCUGGUUAAUACCUGGGGCUAAUGACGGUACCGUAAGAAUAAGCACCGGCUAACUACGUGCCAGCAGCCGCGGUAAUACGUAGGGUGCGAGCGUUAAUCGGAAUUACUGGGCGUAAAGCGUGCGCAGGCGGUGCUGUAAGACAGGCGUGAAAUCCCCGGGCUCAACCUGGGAAUUGCGCUUGUGACUGCAGUGCUGGAGUACGGCAGAGGGGGAUGGAAUUCCGCGUGUAGCAGUGAAAAGCGUAGAUAUGCGGAGGAACACCGAUGGCGAAGGCAAUCCCCUGGGCCUGCACUGACGCUCAUGCACGAAAGCGUGGGGAGCAAACAGGAUUAGAUACCCCGGUAGUCC